rnacentral:tRNA from 1 species
GGGUGUAUAGCUCAGUUGGUAGAGCAUUGGGCUUUUAACCUAAUGGUCGCAGGUUCAAGUCCUGACGUGACAUCCU